CAGCUCUCUGGUGCAUCGUCUCAACACCAC
rnacentral:piRNA from 1 species